rnacentral:rRNA from 1 species
UACGGAGGGUGCAAGCGUUAUCCGGAUUCACUGGGUUUAAAGGGUGCGUAGGUGGGUCUGUAAGUCCGUGGUGAAAUCUCCGAGCUUAACUUGGAAACUGCCAUGGAUACUAUAGAUCUUGAAUACUGUGGAGGUUAGCGGAAUAUGUCAUGUAGCGGUGAAAUGCUUAGAUAAGACAUAGAACACCAAUUGCGAAGGCAGCUGGCUACACAAAUAUUGACACUGAUGCACGAAAGCGUGGGGAUCAAACAGG